rnacentral:rRNA from 1 species
UACGUAGGGUGCGAGCAUUGUCCGGAAUUAUUGGGCGUAAAGAGCUCGUAGGCGGUUGGGUAAGUCGGGUGUGAAAACUCCAGGCUCAACUUGGAGACGCCACCCGAUACUGCUCUGACUUGAGUUCGGUAGGGGAGUGGGGAAUUCCUGGGUGUAGCGGUGAAAUGACGCAGAUAUCAGGAGGAACACCGGUGGCGAAGGCGCCACUCUGGGCCGAAACUGACGCUGAGGAGCGAAAGCGUGGGUAGCAAACAGG